CCCAACAGAGUAGGAACGGGAUUAAGAGUAGAGAAAAUCCUAAUGGAGUUCACAUCCAUAAACUUGUCGAUGUUGGGGAAUAACACUAGCCCAUAGAUGAGAAGUACAAAUAUGGCCUCAAAGGCGUCCUCACUCAUGGCCUUCCCAAACAUAGUAGCUUGAUCAAUGAGGAAAUCAGACGGGAGACCUUGAAUUCCACCUUUGGUAGUCAUAUGAGC
rnacentral:lncRNA from 1 species